rnacentral:rRNA from 1 species
UAGGGAAUCUUCCGCAAUGGGCGAAAGCUUGACGGAGCAACGCCGCGUGAGUGAUGAAGGUCUUCGGAUCGUAAAACUCUGUUAUUAGGGAAGAACAAAUGUGUAAGUAACUAUGCACGUCUUGACGGUACCUAAUCAGAAAGCCACGGCUAACUACGUGCCAGCAGCCGCGGUAAUACGUAGGUGGCAAGCGUUAUCCGGAAUUAUUGGGCGUAAAGCGCGCGUAGGCGGUUUUUUAAGUCUGAUGUGAAAGCCCACGGCUCAACCGUGGAGGGUCAUUGGAAACUGGAAAACUUGAGUGCAGAAGAGGAAAGUGGAAUUCCAUGUGUAGCGGUGAAAUGCGCAGAGAUAUGGAGGAACACCAGUGGCGAAGGCGACUUUCUGGUCCGUAACUGACGCUGAUGUGCGAAAGCGUGGGGAUCAAACAGG